CCCUUAGAUGUUCUGGGCCGCACUCGCGCUACACUGAAGGAGGCAGCGUGUACUCCUGGAUCGAAAGAUUUGGGUAACCCGCGAAUCUCCUUCGUGCUAGGGAUUGAGGUUUGCAAUUAUCCUUCAUGAACGAGGAAUUCCCAGUAAGUGCAAGUCAUAAGCUUGCGCUGACUACGUCCCUGCCCUUUGUACACACCGCCCGUCGCUACUACCGAUUGAAUGAUUUAGUGAGGACUUCGGACUGGGACCGAUGCGGCUUUCGGGCUGCGUCGGUAUUCUGGAAAGAUGUCCAAACUGUAUCAUUUAGAGGAAGUAAAAGUCGUAACA
rnacentral:rRNA from 1 species